GAAUUUCAAUUUACAAUUACAGUGAAGCAUCUUCAGAUCCAGCGACCAAUUGGGGUCAGGUUUUUGAUACAGUAGGGUUUAACUUCACCCUCCUAAACCUUUCCUUUCGAUUCCAAUCCACAUUCCCGGACAAACUCCUGUUUCAUUCUUUUGGUUCUGAUUCUGACAUCCUCCGCUGUUUAUUUGGGCAAAUGAAGAGUCCGGUGAGGUAUAAGUUGGGUAAACAGUCGUCCCUGGCGCCGGAUGGCCACCUUGAUGAUUUGGUGGAGCUCGUCAAGGAGCACGAAACUGAGGAGGGGAUAGAUCCGAGGGUGAGGCUGAUGUAUUUAGCCAAUGAGGGCGAUUUGGAAGGAAUUAAGGAACUGUUGGAUUCGGGAGUUGAUGUUAAUUUCCAUUAUAUCGAUGACCGGACGGCUCUGCAUAUUGCUGCUUGCCAGGGAUUCGCCGACGUUGUUGCUUUGUUGCUGGAGCGUGGCGCUGAAGUUGACUCCAAGGAUCGCUGGGGGAGCACGCCUCUUAGGGAUGCUGUACAUUACAAAAACCACGAUGUGAUCAAACUUUUGGAGAAGCAUGGUGCAGAGCCUCUGGUGGCCCCCAUGCUCGUCAAGAAUGCCCGUGAAGUGCCAGAUUAUGAAAUUGAUCCCGAGGAACUUGAUUUUACCAACAGUGUGAACAUUUCCAAGGGAACAUUCCGAGUAGCAUCUUGGCGUGGAACUGAGGUAGCUGUGAAAGAGCUUGGAGAAGACCUGUUCACUGAUGAGGAUAAAGUGAGGGCUUUCAGGGAUGAACUUGCAUUGCUUCAGAAAAUACGACACCCCAAUGUUGUCCAGUUUCUAGGUGCUGUUACUCAAAGUUGCCCGAUGAUGAUCGUCACAGAAUAUUUGCCUAAGGGAGAUCUUGGAGCAUUAUUGAAAAGAAAAGGAGCAAUAAAAACAGUGACUGUUGUGAGACUUGCCCUUGAUAUUGCAAGGGGGAUGAAUUAUUUACACGAGAACAAGCCGGCACCAAUUAUUCAUCGUGAUCUUGAGCCUUCAAAUAUUCUGAGGGAUGAUUCUGACCACCUGAAAGUAGCAGAUUUUGGAGUAAGCAAAUUAUUGACAGUUAAAGAAGAUAGACCUUCGGCUUGUUCAGAGACUUCUCGAAGGUAUGAGGCUCCGGAGGUUUUCAAAAAUGAAAAGUAUGAUACCAAGGUGGACGUAUUUUCAUUUGCUUUGAUUCUACAAGAGAUGAUUGAAGGUCGUCCUCCAUUUGCUGACACGCCAGAUAGUGAAGUUCCUAAAUUGUAUGCAGCAGGAGAACGUCCACCAUUUAGAGCACCACUUAAACGUUAUGAAAAUGGACUCAAAGAGCUAAUUGAAGAAUGCUGGAAUGAGAUGCCAGCUAUGAGACCAACAUUUAGGCAGAUAAUAUCACAGCUGGAAUUCAUUUACAACAGAUUCGGUCAUAAGAGGCGCUGGAAGGUCAGGCCAUUGAAAUGCUUCCAAAAUAUUGAGGCCAUGUUGAAGAAAGAUCGUUCCCGUCGAAGCAGUUUCAGUCUAUCAACACAUUCUUCUGCCAGUAGUAUAUAAUUAGUCAGAUUUCGGUCCCACACUGUGUUUACCUUCCCAGCUUCGUGUGAUAAACUUAUUUGUCAGAAGUAACUUUUUUGUCAGUGUCCUAAUUGCAUCAAUUGUCAUUGAUUUCAAAAUUGGUUCCGGUUUCUGGGAUGAUAAACACGUGCACCAUUGUUUAUUAAGUACUACUUUUGAGUUUUGAAUGAGUCUCAAAUUCAGGAAUUGUGAAACCAGAACCUUCAAGUUGUGGCUGUAGUCUGUACUGCAGGAUCAUGGAAACCUGUGGAUGUGAAGAUAAUGACUAAUUCAGAGAAUUCUUGUACACUCGAAGUGGCAAUUUCCUUCAUUCUCCACUUAUCGGAUAUUAAGAUUUGCAGAAAUUAUGGUCCUUCAGAUUGGAUAGUUGGUACAAACAAGAUAUAGAAAUAUCCAUUUUGAUUACUGUUUGAAGUUGAUUCUCUUAAUGUGCACAUCCAGGAGAUACCAAUACCAACUUUUGCCAAUCUGAGUCAUCAAAUUGGAAAAGUUUGACAAAGGUAUAGGUACAUGUGGCAGGAAAGUACCAAAUUGUAAGUUUCAAUUUCAAAUCUGAUCUUGUGGUAAAAAAAAAAAAAUGGGAAAACUAAAUUGCUGACAUAAGAAGCAAAGAUUUUUUCUUUGUGGGUUGCAAAGCCUCCAAUCAGAGAUAUUCUGGGGUUGAAUUUGAAGUUGGAGAAUUGGUUGUCAAUAGCUCAUUUUGGCAAAUUGGAAAAUCCCAAUUCUUUUAGAUUGAAAAGACUGGUUGUUGCAUCUUAAGAACAUCCAUUCCUUAAAAUCUCCAUUUCCGGGCCAAGCAACCGUAUCAGAGACACGUGGGAAAUCAGAUUUUCUGGCCAAGCAACCUCCAUCAAAAUCUCCAAUUUACAACAAAUUGGUCAGAUUUUUCUAUUGGACAAAUUUUCAGUGAAAGCUUUAGCAAGAAGGUGUGCUCUGUUUAUGUGGCUUGAAAGCCAAAUAUUACACAGCGGCUUCACCAUAUGCUUUUCUUUGAAACAUAUUCUCGUUAAGGUAUAAAAGCACUGCCAAUUUUAUGUUCCUUUUGCAAAGGAGAGGUGCAACUUAUUCAGGUAUAGAGCUCAGCAUGCUGGAAAGGAAGCUUUGCAGAAAAAAGUAUGUCAGUCGAGCAGAACUGCCUUGUGUGUUAUUAAUGCUUUGUUUGCUCUUCUCUAUCCCUUCUCACACUCAACUGCUAAUUAUGGAGUUUUUGUUGAAGUCACAGAUAGAGAUAAGAAGAAAAGAAACCAAAUUGAAUGUUGAAUGUGAAGUGCCGUACUUAGUAAUUGGUAUAGUGAGAGGUUGAUUUCAUACAUAUGGCAAAGCCUGGAGAUUGAGGCAGCUGAGUGUGAAGUUUAUAGAACACCUUUUUUCCUUGGGAAGAUCUGGCAGCGGCGUGGAGGUAGGACCGAUAGGGGAUGGGCUACGAGCCACUACAUGUUGAACUAUACGGCCAUUUUGGUUGCAAAAACGGACCCACCUACAUCCAUAAUACAAAAUGCUAGUUUAUUAAGAAUACGCUAGAAAAGCGCUUCAAAUGUCGAUUUGUGAUAGGCGUAGGGUAGGAGCCUCUUUCAAUUGAGAGGUUAUUUAUUGAUUUGUGUUGGAAGUAAAGGUGAAGUUAAGCUGAGUUAGCUGAAGAAAUUAAGUUGGUUUGAUGCAGAGAUUAGGAAAAUUUUGAAGAGGGGAAGGUUGAAAUGUAUAGGUACGGGAUAUGGCAUUUAUGGAGUUUCAAUGCCCUUCACCACAGCAUCUUUUGAGAAAUUAAGUACAAAUUCACACUACUUUUUGAGUUUUGUGGUCCCAUUUCAAGAGAAUAUAUAAAACACAUUGGCCU